rnacentral:rRNA from 1 species
AUUGAACGCUGGCGGCAGGCCUAACACAUGCAAGUCGAGCGGAUGAAGGGAGCUUGCUCCUGGAUUCAGCGGCGGACGGGUGAGUAAUGCCUAGGAAUCUGCCUGGUAGUGGGGGAUAACGUCCGGAAACGGGCGCUAAUACCGCAUACGUCCUGCGGGAGAAAGUGGGGGAUCUUCGGACCUCACGCUAUCAGAUGAGCCUAGGUCGGAUUAGCUAGUUGGUGGGGUAAAGGCCUACCAAGGCGACGAUCCGUAACUGGUCUGAGAGGAUGAUCAGUCACACUGGAACGGAGACACGGUCCAGGCUCCUACGGGAGGCAGCAGUGGGGAAUGUUGGACAAUGGGCGGAAGCCUGAUCCAGCCAUGCCGCGUGUGUGAAGAAGGUCUUCGGAUUGUAAAGCACGUUAAGUUGGGAGGAAGGGCAGUAAGUUAAUACCUUGCUGCUUUGACGUUACCAACAGAAUAAGCACCGGCUAACUUCGUG